rnacentral:rRNA from 1 species
AACGAACGCUGGCGGCAUGCCUAACACAUGCAAGUCGAACGAGACCUUCGGGUCUAGUGGCGCACGGGUGCGUAACGCGUGGGAACCUGCCCUUAGGUUCGGAAUAACUCCCCGAAAGGGGUGCUAAUACCGGAUAAUGUCUUCGGACCAAAGAUUUAUCGCCUUUGGAUGGGCCCGCGUUGGAUUAGCUAGUUGGUAGGGUAAAAGCCUACCAAGGCGACGAUCCAUAGCUGGUCUGAGAGGAUGAUCAGCCACACUGGGACUGAGACACGGCCCAGACUCCUACGGGAGGCCGCAGUGGGGAAUAUUGGAAAAUGGGCGAAAGCCUGAUCAAGCAAUGCCGCGUGAGUGAUGAAGGACUUAGGGUUGUAAAGCUCUUUUACCCGGGAUGAUAAUGACAGUACCGGGAGAAUAAGCGCCGGCUAACUCCGUG